GGCAAGAUGGCCGAGCGGUCUAAGGCGCUGUGUUCAGGAAAUUUCAGGUGAUAUUUCAGUGUUUCGCAGUCCGAAAGGGCGUGGGUUCGAAUCCCACUCUUGUCA